UACGUAGGCAGCGAGCGUUGUUCGGAGUUACUGGGCGUAAAGAGUGCGUAGGCGGUUUUCUAAGUUUGGUGUGAAAUCUCCCGCUUAACUGGGAGGGUGCGCCGAAAACUGGAAGGCUUGAGUAUGGGAGAGGUAAGCGGAAUUCCUGGUGUAGCGGUGAAAUGCGUAGAUAUCUGGAGGAACACCGGUGGCGAAGGCGGCAUCCUGGACCGACAUUGACGCUGAGGCGCGAAAGCCAGGGGAGCGAACAGG
rnacentral:rRNA from 1 species